CAGGGAACAGACAAGGAGGUUAUUUGCUACGACAAUUUUCCCAGCCAAGGCUCAUGAUGAGUGACAGUGUCUCAAUCUUACCAAGACGACAAUCGUGGUUAACCAUCACAACCUCCCAGAAACUGACGAAAGGAAACACCUCUAAGCUUUUCUCAUCUUGACAACCAUCACAGCAGCAGAAGACAGCACCUAGGGAAACAGCAUUGGUGGCUCUCUUUGCUCCCACCCCCGACUCAAAGCACGCUGCCCAUCUCCCUUCAGCAGCAGAACGUGACCUGGCAGGAGACAGCCUUGCCCUGGGCUUGGGGAGCAGCAGCGGAUCCCAACCCUGGAUGGAGUUUUCUCCUUAAAUACAAGCAGGAAUCUUGGCUGGAGAGUCUCCCUUGUUUCACGUGUGCCGUCCUCUGUCUGUAAAUUAAACCCAACAAGACCCCAGGGGACCCUAACUAGUACACCUGAUGGGCAAGUGGGAGGGCGACCUCUCUAUAAACCUCUGAUUGUACCCCGGUUUGUCGCCUCCACUCAGUGCUGGUG